UACGUAGGGUGCAAGCGUUAUCCGGAAUUAUUGGGCGUAAAGAGCUCGUAGGCGGUUUGUCGCGUCUGCUGUGAAAACCCGAGGCUCAACCUCGGGCCUGCAGUGGGUACGGGCAGACUAGAGUGCGGUAGGGGAGAUUGGAAUUCCUGGUGUAGCGGUGGAAUGCGCAGAUAUCAGGAGGAACCCCGAGGGCGAAGGCAGAUCUCUGGGCGGUACCUGACGCUGAGGAGCGAAGGCAUGGGAGCGAACAGG
rnacentral:rRNA from 1 species